GAUGAAGAACGUAGCGAAAUGCGAUAAGUAAUGCGAAUCGCAGAAUCCGUGAGUCAUCGAAUCUUUGAACGCACAUUGCGCCCUCUGGUAUUCCGGAGGGCAUGCCUGUUCGAGCGUCAUUAUCACCCCUCAAGCCCGGCUUGUUGUUGGAUGCAGCGCUUAUCCCGCUCCUCCCAAAGAUAAUGACGGCGUCUGCGACGACUCCUGUACACUGAGCUUUCGGGCACGUACACGGCUAGAAGUCCAGACCCGGUCGCCGUCCCCCCCGCGGGGACACCCAUUACCACAAGGUUGACCUCGGAUCAGGUAGGAAUACCCGCUGAACUUAAGCAUAUCAAUAAGCGGAGGA
rnacentral:misc_RNA from 1 species